AUUCCAGCUCCAAUAGCGUAUAUUAAAGUUGUUGCAGUUAAAAAGCUCGUAGCUGAAUAGAUAUUGCAAGCCACUGCCCAUCUGUUCUGAUGUGGCGAAUGGCUUCGCAAUAAACAUAUGUUACGCAAUAUCCUUCACUGGGUUUUGCCGUAGCAGACGUUUACUUUGAGUAAAUUAGAGUGUUUCAAGCAAGUAAAUGCGUUGAAUACUGCAGCAUGGAAUAAUGAUAUAAGACUUUGUUUUAUAUUAUUGGUUGAAAAGCAAAAGUAAUGAUUAAUAGGAACAGCUGGGGACAUUCGUAUUCAUCAGUCAGAGGUGAAAUUCUUAGAUUUGAUGAAGACGAACUAAUGCGAAAGCACUUGUCAAAAAUGUUUUCAUUA
rnacentral:rRNA from 1 species